UGUUAAAAUUUUCAUCCAUUUCUACUGUUAAAAAUUGACAUGACUGACAAAAUAAUCAAACAGUUAUUCGUGUCAUGGUGGAAUAUAGGGACCAAUUUUUAACAAUAAAAAUGGAUGAAACUUUUAACA
rfam:Gossypium raimondii Chr12_contig_613, whole genome shotgun sequence.